rnacentral:rRNA from 1 species
AUUGAACGCUGGCGGCAGGCCUAACACAUGCAAGUCGAGCGGAUGAAGGGAGCUUGCUCCUGGAUUCAGCGGCGGACGGGUGAGUAGUGCCUAGGAAUCUGCCUGGUAGUGGGGGAUAACGUCCGGAAACGGGCGCUAAUACCGCAUACGUCCUGAGGGAGAAGGUGGGGGAUCUUCGGCCCUCACGCUAUCAGAUGAGCCUAGGUCGGAUUAGCUAGUUGGUGGGGUAAAGGCCUACCAAGGCGACGAUCCGUAACUGGUCUGAGAGGAUGAUCAGUCACACUGGAACUGAGACACGGUCCAGGCUCCUACGGGAGGACGCAGUGGGGAAUAUUGGACAAUGGGCGAAAGCCUGAUCCAGCCAUGCCGCGUGUGUGAAGAAGGUCUUCGGAUUGUAAAGCACUUUAAGUUGGGAGGAAGGGCAGUAAGUUAAUACCUUGCUGUUUUGACGUUACCAACAGAAUAAGCACCGGCUAACUUCGUG